AUAACUUGUUGUGUGCAUGCUAUGACGUAAAUGAUGCAUAUGAACUCCGAACGUGAGCAUUAUCAUAAGCCCAUCGAACGAUACCACAAUGUUCCUCAAACUGUGAUGCUUAAACACUCGUAUCGACCUUUCGGCAUUCUAAUGUUGGUGCUUCAAUAAUACACUGUUGUGUGUAUGCUGUGAUCUGCAUGAUGCAUGUGGAACGCUGUAUAGCACCUGUCUAUCUCGAAUUAUAACACUAUAUAGCACCUUCGGAUGUUCCUCGAGCUGUGAUGCCAAAAUAAUUGUAUCCACCUUUCCGAUUGUCCCGAGGCCCCCUCCCUGUCUGCCUCGGAAGCACAAAUAAAUGAGGCCCAAUAUGAACUUUGAGCAUAAAACACAAGAAUCCACAAAAGUAUAUUAUAAUCUCCUCUCAAGAGCGCAAAUGUUCUCACACAUCACAUCUUUUAGAUUAGCACGCAUUAGCAUCCAAAGAACAAUCAGCUAAAAGCAUAUAUAAAGC
rnacentral:lncRNA from 1 species